CCUACGGGAGGCAGCAGUGGGGAAUUUUGGACAAUGGGCGCAAGCCUGAUCCAGCCAUGCCGCGUGCGGGAAGAAGGCCUUCGGGUUGUAAACCGCUUUUGUCAGGGAAGAAAAGGUUCUGGUUAAUACCUGGGACUCAUGACGGUACCUGAAGAAUAAGCACCGGCUAACUACGUGCCAGCAGCCGCGGUAAUACGUAGGGUGCAAGCGUUAAUCGGAAUUACUGGGCGUAACGCGUGCGCAGGCGGUUAUGCAAGACAGAGGUGAAAUCCCCGGGCUCAACCUGGGAAUUGCCUUUGUGACUGCAUAGCUAGAGUACGGUAGAGGGGGAUGGAAUUCCGCGUGUAGCAGUGAAAUGCGUAGAUAUGCGGAGGAACACCGAUGGCGAAGGCAAUCCCCUGGACCUGUACUGACGCUCAUGCACGAAAGCGUGGGGAGCAAACAGGAUUAGAUACCCUGGUAGUCCACGCCCUAAACGAUGUCAACUGGUUGUUGGGAGGGUUUCUUCUCAGUAACGUAGCUAACGCGUGAAGUUGACCGCCUGGGGAGUACGGCCGCAAGGUUGAAACUCAAAGNGUAGUGCGNGNGAGUGCGACGAGACACGACGGGAGGUUAGG
rnacentral:rRNA from 1 species